rnacentral:lncRNA from 1 species
UCGGGUCCUGAAAGGGAGUACGUGCCCCACUAUGCUCAGAGGAUGCCAUAUUGUCAACUCAGUUUGUCAUGCAGAUCAUGAUGUACUGUAAGUAUCAAAUUUUACAGUACAAAUUACAGAUUAAAAGAGCAAUUUCCUUUUGUCAUCUGCCUGAUCAUCUAUACUUGCCAAUUCAAAUGAUCUAACCUUUGCGCUGGCAGGUCAGAAAGUAGUCAUAUGUCCUCAGAUGCUGCGGGCCACAAGGGGUGAUGACACCGGAGGUAGGGCAACACGCCGAGUCGAGGACGUCCACCGGGUGGAGGACGUCGCGGCUAACAGGGGCGACGGCGGUGUGGCGACGACGGCGGGGCGAGGAGAGGUAGGGCAACAAGGUGGGU